GCUCCUCCAAUCCUUGAGAAAUGCCGAAGCAGAUCCACGAGAUCAAGGAUUUCCUUCUCCUCUAUUUAUAACUUCUCUUUCCAAAGCAGAAGCAGAAUCAGAAGCAGCAGCAACAGCCGAUUUUGAUGGGUUCUCUGCUCGGCAACUGGCCUUCCUUCGAUCCCCAUAAUUUCACUCAAUUACGGCCAUCGGAUCCUGCUCAUCCUUCCAAAAUAACACCUGCCACCUAUCAUCCUACGCAUAAUCGGACUGUUCCACCACCUAAUCAAGUAAUUUCGACAGAGGCAACAAAUAUUCUCUUGAGACAGUUCUAUCAACGGGCCAAAGAGAAGUUAAGACCAAAGAGAGCUGCCUCGGAGCUUUUGAUACCACAGGCAGUCUUGAAUCUGCUCUCCAGGUUUGGCUGGUUUUUUAUUUCGGUGAUUUGGGAGCUGGGAAGUCGAAUCUGCUCUCGAGGUUCACCAAGAACAAGUUUAGUCUCAAAUUGAAGUCAACAAUCGGAGUCGAGUUCGCAUGGCAUAGCUUGAACGUCAAUGGGAAGCUCAUCAAAGCUCAGAUUUGGUAUACGGCAUAGCAAGAGAGGUUGCCUUUAGAGAUAUCUCUGAUCUAAUUCUUGUUUGAUUGGCAUAAAUGGAUCCAAUGGGUGAAGAACAAUUAGAUUAUGAGGAUGAUGAAUACGGGGGAAGUCAGAAACUGCAGUUUCAAGGCAUCGGAGCGAUCUCUGCACUUGCCUAUGAGGAGCUAAUGGGGGAAGACGAUGAGUAUGAUGAUCUUUACAAUGAUGUGAAAGUCGGUGAGGGUUUCAUGCAGUCGAUGCAACGGAACGAGAUGCCAGUUUCAUUAGGUGGUGUGGGCCCUGGGUUGAGGGUUUAGAGCCUGUUGUUUCACAAGAGGUGAGUAUCCCUGGUGUUGGGGUGGGAGGGAAGGAGUCGAAUGUUGGUGCUGCUGGUUUCUCCGAUGUGCAGAAAAAGACAACGUCUUUGUCUGGCAAAGGUUUGGAAGAUAGAACUAGUGAUUACCCAGCGGGGGUUUCUCAAAAAGAUCAUGUUUUGGAUAUGGCUCCUGAGGCUCAAGUAGGAAAUUCAGAAUUUCAAGGAUCCAUGCCUGUUAUGCCAAAUGUUGGUGCUGAUCCUGGUCAAGUGCCAGGAAGGCUUGUUGGUGGGCCGUCUUCAUUCCCAGAUCAGGCCAGUGGUGGUAGCAGUUCAUGCAACAUUUGGAUUAAACUAAUCUCGAUUUUGAUAGGCCCCAUUCUCCACAUUAGGUUUGCCAUUCUAAAGCGGCACUUUUCCUCUUCUCAAUUGCAAUUGUUGGUGUGUUUAGUUUUUCAAGAACUUCCAAAAUCACAAUAAUGCAGAGCAAAGUGCCAAUUCAGUGCGUCAAAUCUGACAUGGAGAGCAUGUGGCCAACCAAAUUCAGUAUUAGGUUUACAUUUGAUUCAGGGGAUCGUCUGCUAUUUCACAAAGCGUCUUUAGUUUUGUAUUUUCAAUCUCUUCUUUUCUUUCUUUCCCUUUUUUUUUUCCCCUGGAUUCAUCUAUAGGAAAAAUGUAGUUGACUUGACAGGUCACCACCUCUGACCUGCAUAUGAGUAAGACGUACUCUUCAAUCUUUAGGUCCACAUCAUAGCAUACUGAUACGCUUUUAUUUACCUCCUCUUUUCAUGAAUCCUGCUGCUUAUACACAACUACAAUAUAAUCAUUGAAGGUUUUAAAGUAUGUUAACGUAACUUACAAACUUGGAUGCAUCGUGCUCGGAACUUCAAAUGUACAUGGUUUGUGAUCGAAGGGCUAAUCCAAAAGAAGCUUGACUUCAAGGACAUGGUCAAUGGGAUCUGUGAUCACAAAUGGCUUGGCAAAGGCUUCACAUGUCUGCUUCCAAUUUGAUCUUUAAAUUGGUAUUAGAGUUUCAUGUUUAAAAGAAAUGCAUUGGGAUUUUUUUAUAAUCUUUUUUGGUGUAAACUGCUCUGUAUUAGAGUUUCAUGUUUAAAGGAAAUGCAUUUGGGUUGUUUAGUAAAGAUGGUGACAGACAGUCUGUGAUUGGUUUGUUGUGCAAGUAGAAAAUAUGCACUGAAAUCAGGUGGGCCGUAGUCUGGAUGGAUCAUACUGCAACAGAUCUUAACCCAUCACCAUACUCCUGUUCUACCUGCUCUACCGUAUCAUCUCCAUCGCUUGGAAAACCUUCCCAGUAGAACAGAACAGAGCAUCACUCUUAAACAGACCAAUUUCAAGGCCUGCUGGUUUCUAUUUAGAUAUGCCAAGAAUGCUGCUAAUCAGGUUUUGGAGAAAAUAGGAGAGCAAACUUGGAAGAUCUAGGCAUUCUUACAGGAAGAGAGCCAUCAAAACAUAUGGAGAGAUGCCCAGGUCCCUCGGAUGAUGUCAAGAAUGCUCCACACGGCUCCUUUUUGCUUCAUGCCUGUGCACACAAUCCUACCGGUGUUGAUCCUUCAGAGGAACAGUGGAGAGAGAUCUCCUAUCAGCUCAAGGUAAAAAAUCAUUUUCCCUUCUUCGACAUGGCGUACCAAGGUUUUGCAAGUGGUGAUCCUGAGAGAGAUGUGAAGGCAAUUAGAAUUUUUCUUGAAGAUGGGCAUUUUAUUGGAUGUGCUUAAUCAUACGCGAAAAACAUGGGACUAUGGAAAGAGAGUAGGAUGCCUCAGGUAGUUUUUUUUUUUCCCCACAAAUUUCAAGUUUAAAAUGACAGAAUGGUUGAUUGGGACUCUUGGAAGAUCUCUCUACUGUUCUUUAAAGGUUUACUAAGGUCAAUCAGUUUUUAUCUGAUCAUUUAACUUUCCUUUAGAACUAGUGUUUAUCACCUUAUUUAUUGCUAAAAGGGUAAUUUUUUUCUUAACCAAAAAUAAAAUAAAAAAUCCUGAAUUACCCUUCCCCAGGGAAGAGGUUUAUUAAGAUUGAUGAAUAAGCUAUUUCCCAUCUAGUUAUAGAUGUUCUCUGUUAGCACUUCUCUUUUACUUCUAACAUAAUUCCAGAAUGGCAAAGGGCUUUAUUUUAUUUUAUUUUUAUUUUAUUUAGUUUUUUGUUGUCGUCGAUGCUACCUUUCUGGUUACAGUGUGCUCUGCGAAGAUGAAAAGCAAGCAGUAGCUGUGAAGAGUCAGUUGCAACAAAUUGCUACACCCAUGUACAGAAACCCACCAGUUCAUGGUGCGCUUAUUGUUUCAACCAUCCUCAGUGAUCCUGAUUUGAAGAAUUUGUGGCUGAAGGAGGUGAGGGACGAGAAUGAUACUAAUUACGAAGAAGUGGGAGGUUGCUGAUGAGUUUGACAGCGACUUUGAUGAAGAUGUGAGUCUGGCUGGGAAUGCUGCUAGAGA